AGUGAACGCUGGCGGUAGGCCUAACACAUGCAAGUCGAACGGCAGCACAGUAAGAGCUUGCUCUUACGGGUGGCGAGUGGCGGACGGGUGAGGAAUACAUCGGAAUCUACUUUUUCGUGGGGGAUAACGUAGGGAAACUUACGCUAAUACCGCAUACGACCUACGGGUGAAAGCAGGGGAUCUUCGGACCUUGCGCGAUUGAAUGAGCCGAUGUCGGAUUAGCUAGUUGGCGGGGUAAAGGCCCACCAAGGCGACGAUCCGUAGCUGGUCUGAGAGGAUGAUCAGCCACACUGGAACUGAGACACGGUCUAGACUCCUACGGGAGGCAGCAGUGGGGAAUAUUGGACAAUGGGCGCAAGCCUGAUCCAGCCAUACCGCGUGGGUGAAGAAGGCCUUCGGGUUGUAAAGCCCUUUUGUUGGGAAAGAAAGGCAGCAGGCUAAUACCCCGCUGUUCUGACGGUACCCAAAGGAUAAGCACCGGCUAACUUCGUG
rnacentral:rRNA from 1 species